rnacentral:rRNA from 1 species
AUUGAACGCUGGCGGCAGGCCUAACACAUGCAAGUCGAGCGGUAGCACAAAGGAGCUUGCUCCUUGGGUGACGAGCGGCGGACGGGUGAGUAAUGUCUGGGGAUCUGCCUGAUGGAGGGGGAUAACUACUGGAAACGGUAGCUAAUACCGCAUAACGUCGCAAGACCAAAGUGGGGGACCUCCGGGCCUCACGCCAUCGGAUGAACCCAGAUGGGAUUAGCUAGUAGGUGGGGUAACGGCUCACCUAGGCGACGAUCCCUAGCUGGUCUGAGAGGAUGACCAGCCACACUGGAACUGAGACACGGUCCAGACUCCUACGGGAGGCAGCAGUGGGGAAUAUUGCACAAUGGGGGAAACCCUGAUGCAGCCAUGCCGCGUGUGUGAAGAAGGCCUUCGGGUUGUAAAGCACUUUCAGCGGGGAGGAAGGCGGUAAGGUUAAUAACCUUACCGAUUGACGUUACCCGCAGAAGAAGCACCGGCUAACUCCGUGCCAGCCGCCGCAGUAAUAC